UACGUAGGGGGCUAGCGUUGUCCGGAUUUAUUGGGCGUAAAGAGCGUGUAGGCGGCCAGGUAGGUCUGCUGUGAAAACUCGAGGCUCAACCUCGAGACGUCGGCGGAAACCAUCUGGCUAGAGUCCGGAAGAGGAGAGUGGAAUUCCUGGUGUAGCGGUGAAAUGCGCAGAUAUCAGGAAGAACACCCGUGGCGAAGGCGGCUCUCUGGGACGGUACUGACGCUGAUGCGCGAAAGCGUGGGGAGCAAACAGG
rnacentral:rRNA from 1 species